GUCUAUGGCCAUACCACCUUGAACGCACCUGAUCUCCUCUGAUCUCAGAAGCUAAGCAGGAUUAGGUCUGGUUAGUACCUGGAUGGGAGACCACCUGGGAAUACCGGGUGCUGUAGGCU
ensembl:rRNA 5S_rRNA 5S ribosomal RNA